rnacentral:lncRNA from 1 species
UGGCGCGGGCGGACAGCCCCUGCCUUCCCGGCGGCACGUGCGCUGUUCCCGCGCUCCCGCCGGGCGCGCGCUCGAUGGGCUGCGGGCGGAGGCCGACGGCCCGAGCCCCUCUGCAUGAAGAGGGGGUCCGCCGACCCGGCGGCGCCCAGCGAUCGCUCCAGAGCUACUCACGGGCUGGGACCAGUGCUGUGUCUGACACCUGAGGGCAGCCGGCAGAGCACGGCGCCUUUCGCGGAUGAGGCCCGUCCGCUCGCCAGCCUUCAGACGUUGCCUACUGCACUUGGGUUUUUCUUGGACUCGAUCAAAGGCGCUGUUCCUAGAGUCUCCUGUAAACUGAGACCUUGCAAUGUGGAUCGAUGGCUAUGCAGUCCAUUCAUGACUCAAAAAGUCAGUUCCAAUAUCACUGUAUAUAACUCAUCAUGAUAAAAAGAAAGCAAGCAUAUCAGUGGAUAUCCAUGGACCACAUGUCAAUGAAAUCAGCCACAUCCACAUGGCUCAUAGUUUUUCCUUAAUAAAGUCCUUCAGAUUAAAAGAGAAAGUAUUGAUGGCAGACCAGAAGAAGGAUCACAAACAGUAGAAUUCCACAUAUGUUACAAACAGUUUGUUACAACAAUCUGGGCCAACCUGUUCCUGACUACACAGUAAGACAUCACAGUCUGCCAGGAGUCUGUAACGAGGCUGGAUCACUUUUCAGAUGUGCCACUUUGUCUUCCUAGCUCCGGCGGACUUUCUGUCAGCAGCGCUUCCGUCUACCAUAUGUCAGCUGCCCCAAGUCCCUUCCCAGAUGCCAUACCAUUAUUUUUAGGACAUAUAUUCGCCCAUUCUGGAACGGGGUUUGAGCACGUGCUACAGCGCCAGUAUGGCACUCGGGGGACAACUUUCAGGAGUCAGUUGUCUCCCUCUCCCGUUCAGGUCCCAGGGACUGAACCCUGGGUCAUCAGAAUUGACAGCAAGCGCCUUAACCUGUAGAGCCAUCUCACCGGUCCCAUGAUUUUUUAAGUUUCAUCAAACCGAUAAAAUGUAAAUAUUAAGAUGCACACAUAUAUAAGUAUUUAAAAAUUAAAAUAUGACU